AGUGAACGCUGGCGGUAGGCCUAACACAUGCAAGUCGAACGGCAGCACAGUAAGAGCUUGCUCUUACGGGUGGCGAGUGGCGGACGGGUGAGGAAUACAUCGGAAUCUACUUUUUCGUGGGGGAUAACGUAGGGAAACUUACGCUAAUACUGCAUACGACCUACGGGUGAAAGCAGGGGAUCUUCGGACCUUGCGCGAUUGAAUGAGCCGAUGUCGGAUUAGCUAGUUGGCGGGGUAAAGGCCCACCAAGGCGACGAUCCGUAGCUGGUCUGAGAGGAUGAUCAGCCACACUGGAACUGAGACACGGUCCAGACUCCUACGGGAGGCAGCAGUGGGGAAUAUUGGACAAUGGGCGCAAGCCUGAUCCAGCCAUACCGCGUGGGUGAAGAAGGCCUUCGGGUUGUAAAGCCCUUUUGUUGGGAAAGAAAAGCAGCAGGUUAAUACCCCGCUGUUCUGACGGUACCCAAAGAAUAAGCCCCGGCUAACUUCGU
rnacentral:rRNA from 1 species